rnacentral:lncRNA from 13 species
AAAUCUCCCCUGGGCUGGGGAACUCCGUGCAAAAGCCAAAUUUCUUUGCUGAGUGAGUCAGGCCGAGCUGUCAAAAGUCUUUGGAGGAAAAGAUUGAUGGUUUCUCUCUUCUUUGCGGGUUGUGUGGACCCGGGGCACUUUAAAGAGGGAAAGAAAGAGGGGAAAAAAAAAAAAAAAGAUCUUGGGAAAUGACUUUUUCAUUUUAUUUAUUUAUUUUGUAAACUCUGGAAGUGGCGCUGCUUAUUGGAGACGUGGUAAAAAAAGAGAUGGGAAGGAAGAAAUGUGAUUUCAGAGAUAUCCGUGACCUUAAAACGUGUUUGGCCUUUAAGGAAAGUGCAAAGGGUCCAUUAAGCCUGGCUUGGGAAGAAGGAUUAGGCUGCUCUUUAACGGUAAUUUAAACCGGUAAAUCGGGCCGGUUUAACUACACUUGACUUAAAAGCUCGCUUGAUUUCCUAAGCGUUCACAUCCAGGCUCAAACGCAAACUCCAGGACAAACCCUCACAGCGGCUCGGACUUCCCGAGCUGCAAUAAAUGCGUGAGGUGGAAACAGGAGCUGGGAUCCAGCUGUGAAUGUCGGGGAGGGAGGGAGGAGGGAAAAAAAAAUCCCUUUUUCCCACAGUUGGUUCUCACCCUGGGGAUGGAAAGUCUGGGAAGCUCAGCUGGAGGCACCUGGCGCGGCACUGGGGUGGAACGGGCAGGGCCGGGCAGGGCGCGGGCAGGAUGGGCAGGGAAAGCAGGAGAGGGAGCAUCGGGGAGGACGGGGAGCAUCGGGAAGGACGGGGAGCAUCGGGAAGGACGGGGAGCAUCGGGGAGGACAGGGAGGGAGGACAGGGAGCAUCGGGAAGGACGGGGAGCAUCGGGAAGGACGGGGAGGGAGGACAGGGAGCAUCGGGGAGGACAGGGAGCAUCGGGAAGGACGGGGAGGGAGGACAGGGAGCAUCGGGAAGGACGGGGAGCAUCGGGGAGGACAGGGAGCAUCGGGGAGGACAGGGAGCAUCGGGAAGGACAGGGAGGGAGGACGGGGAGGGAGGACAGGGAGCAUCGGGGAGGACAGGGAGAGAAGGCAGAACAAAAAGCACAGGCGGGGAAGGCAGAGCAGGCAGGAUGGGGAGCACCAGGGAGGGCAGCGAGGAGAGGACAGGGAGCAUCAGGAAGGGCAAGAAACAGGCAGGACAAGGAGUACCAGGCAGGAGAGGCAGGAGAGGCAGGACAGGGAGGAUCGGGAAGGACAGGGAGCACCAGGAAGACAGACAGGGCAGGAAGCACAGGCAGGGAAGGCAGGAGAGGCAGGGGGGGAAACACGGGCAAGACACGGAGAGCAGGCAGGACAGGGAGCGUCAGGAAGGACAGGCAGGACAGGGAGCGUCAGGAAGGACAGGCAGGACAGGGAAGGUCAGGAAGGACAGGCAGGAAAGGAGGCAGAGGAAGGAAGGGAACAUCAGGAAGGACCAGGGCCUUCAGGAAGGACAGGGAGCAUCAGGAAGGGCAGGCAGGGAAAGCAGGGAAAGCAGGGAAGACAGGAAUGGCAGGAAUGGAAGGAUAGGGAGCAUCAGGAAGGACAGGGAGGAUCAGGAAGGACAGGCAGGGAAAGCAGGGAAGACAGGAAUGGCAGGACAGGGAACAUCAGGAAGGACAGGCAGGAAAGGNNNNNNNNNNNNNNNNNNNNNNNNNNNNNNNNNNNNNNNNNNNNNNNNNNNNNNNNNNNNNNNNNNNNN